rnacentral:misc_RNA from 1 species
GAUGAAGAACGCAUCGAAAUGCGAUAAGUAAUGUGAAUUGCAGAACUCAGUGAAUCAUCGAGUCUUUGAACGCACAUUGCGCCCCCUGGUAUUCCGGGGGGCAUGCCUGUCCGAGCGUCAUUGCUGCCCUCAAGCACGGCUUGUGUGUUGGGCCUCCGUCCUCCUCCCGGGGGACGGGCCCGAAAGGCAGCGGCGGCACCGCGUCCGGUCCUCGAGCGUAUGGGGCUUCGUCACCCGCUCUUGUAGGCCCGGCCGGCGCUUGCCGACACAUCAAUCUUUUUUCCAGGUUGACCUCGGAUCAGGUAGGGAUACCCGCUGAACUUAAGCAUAUCAAUAAGCGGAGGA